AUUGAACGCUGGCGGCAGGCCUAACACAUGCAAGUCGAACGAGUGGCGGACGGGUGAGUAAUGUCUGGGAAACUGCCUGAUGGAGGGGGAUAACUACUGGAAACGGUAGCUAAUACCGCAUACCAUCGGAUGUGCCCAGAUGGGAUUAGCUUGUUGGUGGGGUAAAGGCUCCCCUAGGCGACGAUGCCUAGCUGGUCUGAGAGGAUGACCAGCCACACGGGAACGUAGACACGGUCCAGACUCCUACGGGAGGAAGCAGUGGGGAAUAUUGCACAAUGGGCGCAAGCCUGAUGCAGCCAUGCCGCGUGUAUGAAGAAGGCCUUCGGGUUGUAAAGUACUUUCAGCGGGGAGGCGUUACCCGCAGAAGAAGCACCGGCUAACUAGGUGCCAGCCGCCGCGGUAAUAC
rnacentral:rRNA from 1 species